UACGGGGGGAGCAAGCGUUGUUCGGAUUUACUGGGCGUAAAGGGCGCGUAGGCGGCCUCCGCAAGUCAGUUGUGAAAUCUCCGAGCUUAACUCGGAAAGGUCAACUGAUACUGCGGGGCUAGAGUGCGGAAGGGGCAACUGGAAUUCUUGGUGUAGCGGUGAAAUGCGUAGAUAUCGGGAGGAACACCAGUGGCGAAGGCGACUACCUGGCCCACUCUUGACGCUGAGGUGCGAAAGCGUGGGGAGCAAACAGG
rnacentral:rRNA from 1 species